ensembl:lncRNA
CAGGAAUGUUUAUAAAGUAAAAAGGAACUCCUGGUUCCUUCAGUGAGGGAAGCUGUUUCGGAGGGACCCCCCGAGAGAUUUACAACACCCCCUCUUCCUGCCCUAAUUAAGGCAUUUGUUACUAUGUUUUAAUAGCUCCAAGAUGUCUUGUACUGGCUGUAGCUGGGUUUAUAAACAGCUUUUCCUUGAGAGGAGAGGGGAAACCUUCCUUUACAAGUUGUAAAUUGUAAAUUCUUGAGGGUGGGAUGAUGGCACAUCUUCCUCAUGUACUAUCCUCAUAGUGCCUAGGGCCCACCCCAGGACUGCUGAAUCCAAAACUCCUGGCCGAGGGGUCUAGCAAGCUGCAUUGUGACCCAGCCUGCAGGUCAUUGUGAUGCCCGCUCAAGAGAGAGAACCAUUGAGACAAGGGAAGAAUUUUCAUUGAGUCUCCAUGGGCCAGGCUCUCUGCUGGGUCCUUGCUACUCAAAGUGUGUGGUCCUCAGACAGGAAGCACGCAGGUCACUGGGGAGCUUGUUAAAGGACUCUCCACACCCACUGAGACCUGCUGAAUCAGGCUAUUUCAGAUGAAUCAUCUCCUUGAGUUCUCAGAGCCGGCUUAUGACAUAGAUAGGAUGGGAAUUAUCACCAUGGAAAUUUUUGUAGUAUAUGUUUUCUAAAAUCGGUCUUUUGCUUUUAAUUGUAGUUUCUUCUUCACUUUAGCCAUUUCCAGGAGCUCAGAAGCAAUUUCCGUGUUCACAGCUCUUCUUGGGUGGUUCACUCUGAUGAGCUGAGCUGCCAUGUUGCCAGCUGCUCUGUGGAAAUUCCUGCACAUCAAGGCAUUGAAUGCAGCCUUCAGCCAACAGCCAGUGCAAGAACUCAUAAGGAACUGAAUCCUGCCAACAGCCACUGAAUGAGCUUCGAAGCAGAUCGACCCCUCUCUUGAGCCCAGAGAUGACUUUAGCCCUGGCGGACGCUUUGAUUGCAGCCUGAGAGAGACCCAGAGUCAGAGGACCCAGUGGUUGGACACAGAAGAUGCAGGAGAGGACUUCAGUGAAGACUUAAAAGUUAGUGAGCUGAUAGAAGGACUCUUGUCUGAGUGCCCACUUUGAUGAGAGUCUCCUCGGAAACUGCCAACCAGGAGCAUUCUUAGUGGACUUUAUGGGAUCAAGAAUCAACCUAUGUUGCAUUAGCUCUUAAGAUGCUGGGGCUGUUUGUUAUGCAGCUAACCUAGCCUAUCCUGACCACCACACCUUUCUUAUAUGUUUUUGUCUAUUUCAUUUGCUUUGCAUGUUUAAAUUUUAAUAUCAAUUAAUUAUCUUUCAGUCCUUUAAACACAAUUGAUCUCUGUAAUACUUGAGGUAACCUGCAUUUCUUUGCUUUGCAAAUAUUUAUUAGAUACCAGGUACUAUGCUUCCAUUGAUGAAAGGGCACAGAUUUUCUCUUUAAAAAAUUCAUAAUGGGGGCCAGCCCAGUGGCACAAUGGUUAAGUUCACAUGUUCUGCUUCUGCAGCCCAGGGUUCACCAGUUCAGAUCCUGGGUGUGGACAUGGCACCGCUUGGGAAGCCAUGCUGUGGUAGGCAUCCCACAUAUAAAGUAGAGGAAGAUGGGCAUGGAUGUUAGCUCAGGGCCAGUCUUCCUCUGCAAAAAGAGGAGGAUUGGCAGCAGAUGUUAGCUCAGGGCUAAUCUUCCUCAAAAAAAAAAAUCAUAAUGAAUUAGGAAAAUAGAAACACGAAGAGGCAAUUGAAUAGAAGUAUAAUAAGGAUAUACUCAUAGAGCUUGUUCAAAUAUACUUUACACAUCAAGCACUAACCCUUAAUUACUCUUUUAACAGCACUUAAAACCCUCUUCAUCACAUUAAAUAUCUAUUACAUAUGGUGGUAAGAAAGUGUGGCUGUUUUGGAUCACAAUGAAUUUGGCUCAGAUAGAGGUAUUUUGUAUGUAGGAGACAAAAAAUGAAGUCACAGAAGGAAAAUAUGCCUAGACAUUUGAAAUGUAUUCAGUUGGCACUAGGGAGCCAUUGAUGCUUGUAGGGGGAAGAUACAGGAUAAACUUUUCUUUUCGAAAGAUUUAUUAGGCAGAGAUAUUAGGGUGGCCUAGAAGAGGGAAGGCAACAUGCAUGCGGGAAGACUACAUGGGAACCUUACUGCGGAGGAGAUCAAGCGAACAACUCCAGACUAUGAAAGAAAAGGCUGAGAGCUGAUUGAGAAGUUGAAGGGUUUCUUCAGAGUGAGAGCUGCAUCUUUUCCUGUGAUUCCCACCCCUCACCUCUAUGGAGAAGACAUCCUUCCCCUUUACUUGGGCUAGUUGGGAACAUGGAGUGAAGGGCUCACAGACCUGGUACAAGGAGUUACAACAGACACUCGGAGGAACUGAAGUGGCUUCCUGCACUCCUUCCGGCCUGAAACUUCCUUUGUUCCUGUAAUCUCAAAACAGCUGUUUCCUCUGGAAUCACAAACCCCAGCUGGCAGAGCCUCUGCCUCCUGGAUCCUGCUGCACAUAAUACUGUUAAUGAUUCCAGAGGGAAACUUCUAGAAACAACGUGAGAGAUUAUCGCUGUUAACUCUCUAAACAAGGUGCUGCGCUGAAGGUAGAGUGUUGAACCCGGUUCCUUUUCUCGGUUGGGCAGGGUCAAAGUGCCAACAGUGAAGAAUCCAGUCUGGGAAAUCACAGUGCCAGUUAUACCUGCAGUCAUGGAAAAGGAUGACAACAAGGAGACACAGAGAUUUUUGAGUUUGAAGUACCUUUUCAGACACCUGCAGAUUCAACUGGAGGCCGUGGGUUCACAACGAUGCUGCUUUUUCAUCUGCUCUGAACUUGCUCUUACACAGGCGUUGAUAAAAACAGGGCAUACAGGAAAUAACAUGGAUUUAGGAACCUUGCAGACCUGGUUUGUGACAUAUAUGUCAACUCUGUUGUCUUAUGCAAUUUACUUGACUUGUGUGAGCCUCGCUUUUUAUUGGCAAGUGAAGAUCAUAACCUAGUUUGCUUUGCUGCUAUGAGGGUUGAAUGUCUCAAAAAAUACAAUGUUCCCAAUACAGUGUAAUAUCCUUGUUCUUGUCUCACUUUCCAUAGAGAGAGGAAACUCCCCUGCUGGACCCCCCCCAGAGGCACCAAUGGGUUUUCUACAGAUCUCAAUAUAACCCAACUUUCUCUUAUUUCCAUAGUUACUUACCUUUUCCACAAGUACAUCCUUCUCUUGGGUUACUGGCAUUUUGAAAAUAGGCUAUUCCAAGAUGCAUUUCCCUUUCCUGUACUUGAAGUGGUCCUAAUCCACACCAAAGUGGUCCCAAUCUGAGUGGUCC